GAGCCCUACGGGGGGCAGCAGUAGGGAAUCUUCCACAAUGGGCGAAAGCCUGAUGGAGCAACGCCGCGUGGGUGAAGAAGGUCUUCGGAUCGUAAAACCCUGUUGUUAGAGAAGAAAGUGCGUGAGAGUAACUGUUCACGUUUCGACGGUAUCUAACCAGAAAGCCACGGCUAACUACGUGCCAGCAGCCGCGGUAAUACGUAGGUGGCAAGCGUUAUCCGGAUUUAUUGGGCGUAAGGGGACCGCAGCGGGUCUUUUAAGUCUG
rnacentral:rRNA from 1 species